GUCCCACCCCCUCCUUUCUGUACCUGUUGACCUCAUCUGGGCUGCAGUUGGUGACUGCUCGAAGGGGUGGGAGGAACAGUAUAAAGUCCUGUCCCCUUCCUGCCUUCAAGGGCACCCCUGAAGGACCAUAUCCACUGUGGACCCCCUUGGGAUCAGCCGAGGUCUGUAGAGGUGACAUUGCAGCCCAGCACCUCCCUCCUCCGCCCUGCCCUCCUCUGUCCUCCUUCCACAGGUGUGGCCAAGGGCACUGCCCAGUUGGCCUGUGACCCCCAGCUGAGGCUGCUUCCUGGGCAGCUGACUUCAAGUUUGUGACCUGAGCUCUCCAGGCCCCCGAGCGGCUGGUGCCUUGGCCCUGCAGUUCUGCGGCCAAGACUCCUCCUCUGGGAUCUCGUCUUACCCUGCUGCGGGUGCCAGGGCUGCAUGAAGCAAGGGCGAAAGUCCCCUUCGCCCGGGCGCUGCCCUCUGCCUGCUGUCCCCUGUGCUCCUGUUCCCCGUGGCUGCCCAGGGACAGUGACUCGAAGGAAUUGGGUCUUGAGACACAGCCGAGCCUGUGAGCGCUGACCUGUGUAAAGAAGACACCAGAAUGAGAUGUCUCCACACACAGAGAGCUGCAGCCGAUGCCGGCCGGUGACUUGGGACUUGGAUGCUUAACAGGAGGCUCCCCCUCUCUUGGGAGGUAGAGAGCAGUGAGGAAGGGGACUCAGCCUCCAUGCCUCCCGCCAGCCCAGCUGCGCCCGAAUCACCUCCCUCCUGAAAGGAUGUCAGCCUCUGCUUGGACACCGUGGAGACAGGGCCCUCCUUGUGCUUCAGAAGCAUCAACGUGUCAGAAAAUCAUCUUCACGCCAAGUCUGGAAAAAAUGGCUUUGAGGUUGUGCACACAAAGGAAGGAGGGAGAGCCCCAGGUGUCGCGGAGGACCAUGCGGCUGACAGAGCCAGCAGGGCGGUGGCGUGUGAGCCGUGCUCUGGAUAUAUAAGGAUCUGACGCUGCUGGCAAUGUCUGAGCUCUAUGCUCGCCCAUCUGUCGGCUGCUAUCAUCACCGGGUGGGAUUAGCGGAGAUCCACUCUUUCAUAUUUAAAUCUUCACAAGAGAAUGAAUCACUUUUAUAAUAAAAGAAAAAGACCGUC
ensembl:lncRNA LINC00659 long intergenic non-protein coding RNA 659